UUUUUGGAGAGUUUGAUCCUCGCUCAGGACGAACGCUGGCGGCGUGCCUAAUACAUGCAAGUCGAGCGGACUUGACGGAGCU
rnacentral:ncRNA from 1 species